CAGUCGCCACGGUAAUACAGAGGGUGCGAGCGUUAAUCGGAUUUACUGGGCGUAAAGCGUGCGUAGGCGGCUUCUUAAGUCGGAUGUGAAAUCCCUGAGCUUAACUUAGGAAUUGCAUUAGAUACUGGGAAGCUAGAGUAUGGGAGAGGAUGGUAGAAUUCCAGGUGUAGCGGUGAAAUGCGUAGAGAUCUGGAGGAAUACCGAUGGCGAAGGCAGCCAUCUGGCCUAAUACUGACGCUGAGGUACGAAAGCAUGGGGAGCAAACAGGAUUAGAUACCCCCGUAGUCCCUGUCUCUUAUAC
rnacentral:rRNA from 1 species